UUUUUUCUUUUUCUUUUUUUUCUUUUUUUUUAAUUUUUAUUUUUAUUUUUUUCUUUUACUUUUUGCUUUUCUUUUUUCCUUUUCUUUUCUUUUUUUUUCAUUUUUUAUUGUCCCUUUUUUUCAAAAUGAAUAUAAAAAAUUAAAUCAAAUUAAAUAAUAAUAAAGAAAGCUAAAUCAAAUACCAAAUAGUAAAACCAAAAUAAAAAAAUGAAAAAAUAAAAAUAAAAUAACACAAAAAAAAACAAGUCCUAUUAUUUAGUCACCCGGACGAAAUUGGGUGUUGACAGUUGCCCCUCUUUACUUAGAUAUUAGUGGAUAAUAUGAAAAUUUGAUAUUUUUGUAUUAUCUAAGUAAAAGCUAAGUAAAGAUAGAAACACUAAUUUUG
rnacentral:lncRNA from 1 species